CCUACGGGCGGCAGCAGUCGAGAAUCAUUCACAAUGGGGGAAACCCUGAUGCUGCGACGCCGCGUGGGGGAAUGAAGGUCUUCGGAUUGUAAACCCCUGUCAUGUGGGAGCAAAUUAAAAAGAUAGUACCACAAGAGGAAGAGACGGCUAACUCUGUGCCAGCAGCCGCGGUAAUACAGAGGUCUCAAGCGUUGUUCGGAAUCACUGGGCGUAAGGCGUGCGUAGGCUGUUUCGUAAGUCGUGUGUGAAAGGCGCGGGCUCAACCCGCGGACGGCACAUGAUACUGCGAGACUAGAGUAAUGGAGGGGGAACCGGAAUUCUCGGUGUAGCAGUGAAAUGCGUAGAUAUCGAGAGGAACACUCGUGGCGAAGGCGGGUUCCUGGACAUUAACUGACGCUGAGGCACGAAGGCCAGGGGAGCGAAAGGGAUUAGAUACCCUUGUAGUC
rnacentral:rRNA from 1 species